rnacentral:rRNA from 1 species
AUGAACGCUGGCGGCGUGCUUAACACAUGCAAGUCGAACGAUGAUCCGGUGCUUGCGCCGGGGAUUAGUGGCGAACGGGUGAGUAACACGUGAGUAACCUGCCCUUGACUCUGGGAUAAGCCUGGGAAACUGGGUCUAAUACCGGAUACGACUGCUCCGCGCAUGCGGUGGUGGUGGAAAGCUUUUGCGGUUUUGGAUGGACUCGCGGCCUAUCAGCUUGUUGGUGGGGUAAUGGCCUACCAAGGCGACGACGGGUAGCCG